UCUUGCUAAGUAUUUCUCUCUCCUUCACUCACAAUUUUCGGUCACCACCUCUCUCCUUCCACCCCCAUUCGACACUCACUCUCUCUCCCUCAUCUCUCACAUUUCCUCCAUUGUCAACCAUUAACGAGACCUUCAAAGCUUCACAAAAGUAUGCCAAACACAUAAAUCACCAUCAAAACCUUACCCAAACACCUCCCAUCUACUUGAAUCCAAGGAGAUCCUUGAAGAUUGGCCUCAAAGCUAGAGAGAGAAAGUUUGAUAUUUGGUGUAAAGUUUGGGCCCGAGCGAGAAGAAGAAGUAAGUCACCUGAUUUCUUUCCAGGAUUAGUGAAGGACUUCAGGUGGGCAAUAUUUUGAGUAUACAUAUAUCGUAUGAGCUUUCUAAAUGAUUUGAUGAUGUUAUGAGUUUAUCAAAUGCUUUGAGAUAAAUGAUAUUUGAGAACUGUUUGACUUGCCAAUUUUUGAUGUUGAGCUUGUGUGUUACCCUCUACUGAUGAGAUGAGACGAAUUCGGUCCUGCCACAAGCGGGAUUUUGUGCACAGAGGUGACUGUGAGCCGUCUUCGGGUCGGCCGGUCACGGUACUUGAGAGGGAGGCCUACUUCUCAGUACCUUUGAUGAUGAUGAGUUGUAGAUGUGGUACAUACAUGUUAAGAUCCUUGACUGCAGUCGUUUCUUUAUGAUAUCAUGAUUAUGAAAACUACAUGCACAGAUUUAUUUACGCCAACUUUAUUCCUGUGUAUUGCUGAGAUGUGGCAAGUGAAAAAUCCCUUCCUGGGGCUUGUUCAACGGUGUUUGAUCAGUGAGCCUAUUCACGUUGUGCACCACUUUGAACCCUUGUUCAUUCCAGGUGGGUUGAUAUGCCGACUGUGUUUCUCCCUGCAGUACUCUGGGAGGCAGUCCUCUGUAUGGCACCCUUUCUUGAUACCGAGUGUCUGUUUGUUCAGGUUAUCAAAAAAGGCUCCAGGCCUUAACCCUCGGACGAAGACGUACCCCUUGAUUUGAGAUUAAGCUUUGGGCACUUCCAGAGAUGCCUUGGUGAAACGAGCACACGCUUGGAACCCGCGAACUGACACAUGAAGAUAUCAUGGAGGUGUUCAAAAGAGUGAAUUGAAUUAGGUUCCAAUGUCCAGAACCACUGCUGAGCCAUCCGGUUAGCGUAGUGGAGAAAAUUCUAAACUUGAUCCCCUCAGUGUACUGAUGUAGCGUGAUCAUGGUUUUGAAUCUGGCCAUGUGCCCCUCUAGGUCCAGUGGAGGAUCCAGAAUUUUUAAGUUGGGGGUACGAAAAAAUAAAUUGCCAAAGGUCGGGUUGUUUUGUCA